rnacentral:rRNA from 1 species
GCCAGACUCCUACGGGAGGCAGCAGUGAGGCCUCUUGGUCAAUGGGCUCGCGCCUGAACCCGCCCAGUCGCGUGCGGGCUGACGGCCCUCCGGGUUGUAACCCUCUUUUGUCGGGGCGCCCAUUCCGCCCCGUGUGGCGGAGUCGCGCGUACCCGAAGCCCCCGCAUUGGCUCCCUCUGUGCCAGCAGCCGCGGUAAUCCGGCGGAUGCGAGCGUUAGCCGGAUUUAUUGGGUUUAAAGGGGGCGGAGGCGGACGGGCAAGUCAGCGGGAAAAUUUCGGGGCUCAACCCCGUCGUGCCGUUGAAACUGACACCCUUGAGGGAGGGAGAAGUAAGCGGAAUGCGUGGGGGAGCGGUGAAAGGCAGAGAUAUCACGCAGAACGCCGAUUGAGAAGGCAGCUUACCGGCGCUCAACUGACGCUGAGGCACGAAAGGGCGGGUAUCGAACAGGAUUAGAUACCCGGGUA